AGCGAACGCUGGCGGCGUGCCUAACACAUGCAAGUCGAACGUGAAAAGGGAAACCUGAGUAAAGUGGCGUACGGGUGAGUAACGCGUAGGUAAUCUACCCCAGAAUCUGGAAUAACCUGCCGAAAGGCGGGCUAAUACUGGAUAGAGCGAGGGAACUCGUAAGAGAGUUUUUCGGGAAAGGGAGACCGCAAGGGCCUUCGUUCUGGGAUGAGCCUGCGUCUCAUUAGCUAGUUGGUAAGGUAACGGCUUACCAAGGCGAUGAUGAGUAGCUGGUCUGAGAGGAUGGUCAGGCACACUGGAACUGAAACACGGUCCAGACUCCUACGGGAGGCAGCAGUGGGGAAUCUUGCGCAAUGGACGAAAGUCUGACGCAGCCACGCCGCGUGAGUGAAGAAGGCCUUCGGGUUGUAAAGCUCUGUCGGAUGGGACGAACAUCUUCAUAGUGAAUAGCUAUGAGGACUGACGGUACCAUCAAAGGAAGCACCGGCUAACUCCGUG
rnacentral:rRNA from 1 species